rnacentral:rRNA from 1 species
CAGAGAGUGCAAACGUUGUUCGGAAUUACUGGGCUUAAAGCGCACGUAGGCGGCGCCGCAAGUGUGGGGUGAAAGCCCACGGCUUACCCGUGGAAUUGCCUGGCAGACUGCGGUGCUGGAGUGUGGUAGGGGAGAGCGGAACUCCUGGUGGAGCGGUGAAAUGCGUAGAUAUCAGGAGGAACACCGGUGGCGAAGGCGGCUCUCUGGUCCACAACUGACGCUGAGGUGCGAAAGCUAGGGGAGCAAACGGGAUUAGAUACCCCGGUAGUCCUAGCUGUAAACGAUGGGCACUAGCUUGGGGUCCCCCUGUGUGAUCCCAGGUGAAGCAAAAGUGAUAAGUGCCCCGCCUGGGGAGUAUGGUCGCAAGGCUG